GCCAGGCGUGGUGGUGUAUGCCUGUAAUCCCAGCUACUUUGGAGGCUGAGGCAGGAGAAUCACUUGACCCCGGGAGGUGGAGGGUGCAGUGAGCCAACAUCAUGCCACUGCACUCCAGCCUGGGCAACAGAGCGAGACUCUGUCUCAA
rnacentral:SRP_RNA from 1 species